rnacentral:rRNA from 1 species
AACGUAGGUGGCGAGCGUUAUCCGGAUUUACUGGGCGUAAAGGGUGUGCAGGCGGGGUCAUUAAGUGGUGUAUGAAAUCGCCCGGCUCAACCGGGCGAGGUUAUGCCAGACUGGUGGUCUAGAGAGCGAGAGAGGGACGUGGAAUUCCGGGUGUAGUGGUGAAAUGCGUAGAGAUCCGGAGGAACCCCAGAGGCGAAGGCGGCGUCCUGGCUCGCAUCUGACGCUCAGACACGACAGCAUGGGGAGCGAACGGG